rnacentral:lncRNA from 1 species
AUGAUCCUCCUGGCUGUCCUGGCCUUGUCACCUCCUCAUGCCCCAGGCACCCCAAAAGGAACCCACUCCUCCUGCCUCAGUGACAUCAGGGACAAUGUCCUUGUCACAGCCCACCCUUGUCUGUCCUUGUCACCUUUUCCUGCCUCAGUGACAUCAGGGGACAAUGUCCUUGUCACAGCCCACCCUUGGCUGUCCUUGUCACCUUUUCCUGCCUCAGUGACAUCAGGGGACCAUGUCCUUGCUGGCUGCCCUGUCCUUGUCACCUCCUCCUGUCCCAGUGCCCCUCAAAAGGAACCCCCAAAGCUUCACUGGGGCCCAGGUUGUGCCCCAGUCCCACAGCUCCUCCUGUCCAGCUGCUGGACAGCCUUGGCACCUGAGGCCACCCCCAGAGGAAAAUGGUGAUUCAUGCCAGGGAAGGGAGCAAACCCCACAGGACACGGGUCACUGGGAUGUGUCACCUGCCCCGUCUCCAUGUUCUCACCUCAUCAGCUGUCCAAAAAUCAGAACUUUCCUCCAUUCUCCAAAGUUUCCCUGAGAAAGAGUAAGACCAAAAUGUCCUUAUUGCCAAGGACACCUCUGUCCCCUCUUCUUUUGUCCCUUCUCUGAGAUCACUGAACCAGCACGGAGCUGGGAAAGGAAGAAAAACUCCAAUUUCUGAUGUGUUUUGGCCCUUCCUACAAGGACAAAGCUGGAAACAGCCAGGAAACCACCGAGUCCUCUGCAAAAAAGGAAGUUGAUGGGCAAAGGCUGUGCCAGACAAACUCCUGCUGCUGUUCCUGCUGGAUGUACCUGCCCAACAAAUCCUGGAGAGCCAGGGAAAGUCACCUUCACUGAUUUACUGGAAUUUGUGUGCUCAGGGCAAGGCGUGGAGCCUCAGGAUGUGACAAACUGGGAAUUGUCAGGCUGGAGGAGCAAGGAGCCAACAUUAUCCCAUGGAAAUCUGUCCAACAUUGGUUGAGGCCCUGCAAAAGCCACCUGGGAGAUUCUGCUCUGCCUCCAUUCCACCUUUUUGCUGGAAAAUUAACCAGCAGAGACAAAGCAGCCCAAAAUGAGAGAGACAAGGAGAAGAAGGGCACACAUGGUGCAGGGCCCAGCCAAACCUCCACCCCCUCCAGGUGUCCAGCGGGAUGAAAAACAGGAUUAUGGAAAACACGGGAGGAAAAGCAGCUGCUCCUGUCCAUCCCUGCUGUCACAGCUUCCCCUGGCAGCCCCAGCCAGGCCAGCAGGGAACCAGACCAAGAGCAGCUCUUUGAUG